ACAUGUACAUCGCUGUCAUCCUGGAGAACUUCAGCGUCGCCACCGAAGAAAGUGCAGAGCCCCUGAGUGAGGACGACUUUGAGAUGUUCUACGAGGUCUGGGAGAAGUUCGACCCUGACGCCACUCAGUUCAUAGAGUUCUGCAAGCUCUCUGACUUUGCAGCUGCCCUGGAUCCUCCCCUCCUCAUCGCAAAGCCAAACAAAGUCCAGCUCAUUGCCAUGGACCUGCCCAUGGUGAGUGGAGACCGCAUCCACUGCCUGGACAUCUUGUUUGCUUUUACAAAGCGGGUCCUGGGCGAGAGUGGAGAGAUGGACGCUCUUCGAAUCCAGAUGGAAGAAAGGUUCAUGGCUUCCAACCCCUCCAAGGUCUCUUAUGAGCCCAUUACCACCACCCUGAAACGGAAACAAGAGGAGGUGUCUGCUGCUAUCAUUCAGCGUAAUUAUAGAUGUUAUCUUUUAAAGCAACGGUUAAAAAACAUAUCGAGUAAAUACGACAAAGAGACAAUCAAGGGAAGGAUUGACUUGCCUAUAAAAGGAGAUAUGGUUAUUGACAAAUUGAAUGGGAAUUCCACCCCAGAAAAGACGGAUGGGAGUUCCUCCACAACCUCUCCUCCUUCCUAUGACAGUGUAACAAAACCAGAUAAGGAAAAGUUUGAGAAAGACAAACCAGAAAAAGAAAUCAAAGGGAAAG
rnacentral:lncRNA from 1 species